CACUCUCCUUUUUUAUGGAGAAUCUCAGACAUUGGUUGUGUGUUUCUACUUUUAUUAAGUGAAGGGUUUUCCCACAUUGCUUGAUAGUUUGUAGAAAUAACAUGUUUCCUUUUGUCUUAUUUGUAUUACUUUGUGAGGAUAUUGUCCCAUCCGUGUGCUCCUUAGACCUUUGAUUUCUUAUCCCAAAAACCCAUUCAAAAAGUAGCGAAAGUGAAAUCACUUCAAAAUCACAAUUUACCACAGUAGACGGUGCUUACAACAUUGGUGCUAACAAUCAGAUUUCUUUAUUUCUUUCAUCUGAAUCUGAAGACAUUUCUUUAAAGCCUCAUACCUCAGAAUUUCUCUUGAGGAACAGCUGACACUUAAUUCAAAUUGUCUUUGAGUUCUGCCAUUUGGUAUUCCCCCAGAUGGCUCUGCCAUUUGCAAGGCUAUCCACUUGGUCAGAUCCACUAAUGAUCUGCUGCUUUAUUUCCUGGUAGCUGAAAGGCUGGACAAGAAGUGAUCAGUUUUCAGAUGAGAGAACUAAUGUUCUUCCAACCACUCCAGUAGUAAUGGCAAGAGCAUUUUUGGCAGAUGUCAACAAACCGAAUGAGCAGUGUAGUCAACAGUGAGACACGAAGUCAUUUUUGCUAAUGACUUUCUUGUGAAACCCUUUGUAGCUUAAUCUUGCUUGGAACUAGACAGAAGCUAUCUGAACCUCAGCUAAAUCCCCCAUUUCUGUAAGCAGUGCCAGAUGUGGCUAAUACUGUGUUUGAGAGAUGUAGAAGGACAGCAUAGUGUUAGUAAUCCUUAUGGAGUCAAAGCUUGUGCUGUUUUAGAGACAGCAUUAUUUUUCCAUUGUAAGUAACCCUGAAUUUUUGCUGAGAUCAUCCCCAGGAAAAAAAAAAAAAAAGUAAAGAAAAGUAAAGAAAAAAGAACUUCCUGUAUAUUUUGGAGGUUGGUCAUUGACAUUGUAGCUUAGCUUGGAACAGUGGAAAGUUUAUGCAAUGUUUUGUUUCCAUCUUCUGAGUAUGGUCUUCAGCUGAUGCGGUGCAAUCUCAGGCAUGUCUUAUAUUAACAGGCAAAGCAAGCUCCCCACAUCAUUGCUCAGAGGUUAAGAAGAGGUAACUGAUGCAUCCGAAUCCAGCUUUCUGUCAGUACGGUUUUUCUCUCUAUCACCAAGAUAAACAAGUAGGCAACUCAGACAGGUUUACUGUAAGUCUUAGGCUUCACACUUUUUGAGUCCACUCGGAAUACUGUAGAAAUCUGGUCUUUCUGAUGUGUAUCAGGACUUGAAAAAGGUUUACUGAUCAACAUUCUCAGUACCAUUUUGGCAACAGGAACUCCAUUGCUAAAUAAGAUGUAACGGGUGAGCAAAACUCCAGUGCUGAAUGAAAGGAGCCGGAAAGGAUGAAGAAGUGUUCCAAAGGAGAAAGUAUGGACAGUUUCUUACAAGGAAAACGGAAUAAUGUCAUUUGGCAGACUUGGAACAAUUUCGUUUCAAAGCACUGAUAGUUUUGAGGGUAUUUUGAAACCCCCAUCUUUGUUGGAAGUGAGAGGUUGGAAAUCGAAGCUUGUUGGUUUAUAUGAUGUUUCAUAUUGUAGUAGAGGGGGGGAGGGAGGGUCAUUCUGGAGGAAUUGUUAAGAUGUUAAUAAAUGUUUUAUUCCUUGUG
ensembl:lncRNA